AGAGCGUCCUUCAGUCCACUC
rnacentral:miRNA from 1 species